GAUGAACGCUGGCGGCGUGCCUAACACAUGCAAGUCGAACGGGAGUUAAACGCUGAAUUGAUGGUAGCUUGCUAUUGGAUUUUCUUGUUUAACUUAGUGGCGGACGGGUGAGUAACACGUGAAGUCAACCUGCCUUUCGAGAGGGGGAUAACGGCUAGGAAACGUCGCUAAAUACCGCAUGACAUAUUCGAGUGGCAUACACUUGGAUAAUCAAAGGAGCAAAUCCGG
rnacentral:rRNA from 1 species